rnacentral:misc_RNA from 1 species
AGUUGGGAGAAGGAGGCUUUGGUUUUGUGUAUAAAGGAAAGCUUCGAAGUGGUCAAUUUGCAGCUAUAAAGUUGUUGGGUAAAUCUAAAGCCAAUGGACAAGAUUUUAUCAACGAGGUUGCUACUAUUGGGAGGAUCCACCAUGCCAAUAUAGUAAAAUUAAUUGGUUUUUGUGCUGAGGGAUCAAAGUUUGCUCUUAUAUAUGAAUUCAUGUCCAAUGGGUCUCUUGAUAGUUACAUUUUUUGUCAAGAAGGAUCUAUUUCUUUAAGUUGGGAAAAAUUAUAUGAGAUAUCUCUUGGAGUGGCACGUGGCAUUGAAUAUCUACAUCAAGGUUGUGACAUGCAAAUCCUCCAUUUUGACAUCAAGCCUCAAAACAUUCUUCUGGAUGAAAAUUUCACACCAAAAAUUUCUGAUUUUGGGCUGGCUAAACUUUAUCCAACCAAGGGGAGCAUUGCAUCUCUUACGGCUGCAAGGGGAACAAUAGGAUAUAUGGCACCAGAGUUAUUCUACAAAAAUAUUGGGCGUGUUUCAUACAAAGCAGAUGUGUACAGUUUUGGAAUGUUGUUGUUGGAAAUCGCAGGCAAAAGGAAAAACUUAAAUGCAACGGCUGAAAAUUUGAGUCAAAUUUACUAUCCAUUUUUGGUGUAUGACCAACUCUCAAGUGGAAAGUUGACAAUAGAAGACUCAUCAGAGGAGGAAAAUAAAUUAGCUAGGAAAAUGAUUAUAACGGGAUUGUGGUGUAUACAGAUGCAACCUUGCAAUCGUCCUCCAAUGAACAAAGUAUUGGACAUGCUUGAAGGAGAUUUGGAAAGCCUAGAAUUGCCUCCAAGGCCUCUUCUAUAUCCUGCAGAAUCAAUGAAUAUGGAUGGAGGAGAAUCGUCAUCAAUAUCAAGUGAUGUGACACCUUAGAUACAUACUAUUGUCUCAUUGAAAUAGUUGGUCUUCAGCUUUAAAAUGUCUGAACAUAAAUGUUCUGAAUCCUCUUUUACUUUUAUAAAUUGCUAUAAAGUCACAGACGACUUGAUGAUAGUUUAUAAUAAUUCUGUGUUUAACUUGUAAGUGUAAGGUAUCCUUAUUAUUGUCAUCUUCAAUGUAUGAUAAUGCAUUUGCAUUGGCUUCACUA